AGAACAAAAUAUGAAGAACAGCCAUGAUUUUGGACUUCACAGAGUUAUGUGCCCAUAUUGGCACUAGACUUAGUAUUUGAACAGAAUUCGCCAACAAACAUUUGUUAAACACCUACUGUUGCCAGGUAUCCUUAUAGGUUGAAAAAGGAAACUCUCAGCCAGGCGUGGUGGUGCACGCCUGUAAUCCCAGCACUGGGA